rnacentral:sRNA from 1 species
GUUUACCACGCGCACAUCGCGGCUGCUCCGCGCCGUCAGCGUUCACCUGACGUCCGCUCGCCACGUUUUUAGCC